AGCGAAAUGAGGAGACUGGAACAUCUGAAUGUUUUUAUGUGGAGAAAACACGUAUAGUCUUCAAAGUUCUCUGAUUGCU
rnacentral:snoRNA from 1 species